rnacentral:rRNA from 1 species
AUUGAACGCUGGCGGAAUGCUUUACACAUGCAAGUCGAACGGCAGCACGGGUGCUUGCACCUGGUGGCGAGUGGCGAACGGGUGAGUAAUGCACCGGAACGUAUCCAAUAAUGGGGGAUAACGCACCGAAAGGUGUGCUAAUACCGCAUACGCCCUGAGGGGGAAAGCGGGGGAUCGUAAGACCUCGCGUUAAUGGAGCGGCCGAUGCCGGAUUAGCUAGUUGGUGAGGUAAAGGCUCACCAAGGCGACGAUCCGUAGCUGGUCUGAGAGGACGACCAGCCACACUGGAACUGAGACACGGUCCAGACUCCUACGGGAGGCAGCAGUGGGGAAUUUUGGACAAUGGGCGCAAGCCUGAUCCAGCCAUGCCGCGUGAGUGAAGAAGGCCCUU